UGUGGGUGGUACCAACCAAUAGGAUUGCAGCCUGGACAGAAUAAAAACCGAAAGAGGGUCGUCCUUCUUGCUUCUUGGGAGGAGUGGUAGUCUUCGGACUUUGAUCUCAGGUUGUGUCAGGAUUCCAGCACAGAUUCUUCAGACUUCCAACAUAGACCGUUUGGUUUUCCGACGCAGACUUGCACGGGAUUCUGCAUGAGCCUUCAACUGAAGCCUCCCCCCUCUCCGGCAAGCUGCCGGCCAUGUUGCAUUCUUCCGGCCCUGAUUCUGAGGCAGCCACUCCCUGAGUGCCACCUCUUUUGCCGAGGAUGCCUCUGUAGAGGCACCCAGCAGCCCUUUGUGUGAUCCGAGGGUGAAGAUGAACAGCCUGGAGAGCAGCCAAGAGUCCUGCUGGACACAGGAAGGCAGCGAACAGGGAUUUGAAGACCUCAAACAAAAUUCUCUCAGAUUGGACUCUCCUGCCUCCAUCUUGGCCAAAUUGCUAGAGAAAUACAUUCAAGAAAAAUGGAGAGAGAAUACAACCUGUGAACCAUCUGACUUUCAGCUUUACAGUGAAGAACUGGUUAGUUGCAGAUACCCAGUUUAAUGCAUGGUGAGAGACUUCAGGAUGGGGAAAGCCAGUUUUUCCAGCACACCUAUUACAGGGACUACAUUUCUUCCAAUGAAGGUGUUUGUCUCUUUUGUUGAAGAAAAGAUGGCUGAGUGUGUUUGGAGUUGUUUCUGCAUCUUCUAAUCUGUUCCGUUGAUCCUCAGGUCUGUCCCCCCACCCCCACCCGGACCCAUGCUGUUUUUAUCACAUUAGCUUUUGGAACAAAACCUUGAUCUCCCAGGAAAUAUAACAAAGAAUCAAUAACUUGGAUCUUAUCUUAUUAAAAAGCCUUUCCACAGCAAAAGAAAUCAGCAACAGAGCUAAGAGAGUAGGAAAAAAUUUUUGACUGCUGUUCCUCAAAGACUAGAAUCUAUUAAAGAAUUUAAAGAAAACCAGACCUCCCAAUUUAAAGACCCAAUCCAAAAAUGGGCAUCAGAAAUGAAUAGACACUUCUCAGAUGAAAAAGUACAUAUGGCAAAUAAAUAUAUGAAAAAAUGUUCAACAUCACUGGUUAUUGGAGAGAUGCAAAUUAAAACAAUGAUGAGAUUCCAUCUCACUCCAGAAAGAAUGGCUUCUAUCAAGAAAUCAUUAUAUUCUGGCAGGGCUUCGAGGAAAAAGGAACCCUUCUCCACUGUUGGUGGGAGUGUAGACUGGUGCGACUACUUUGGAAAUCUGAAGAUUCCUAAAAAAGCUAAGAUUAGAGGUCCCAAUUGACCCAGCUAUUCCCCUGCUGGGUAUCUUCCUAAAUAAUUAACAUACUACCGUGAUAUAUGCACACCUAUGUUUAUAGCAGCAGAGCUUGUAAUAGCUAAUUCUUGGAAAUGGCCCAAAUACUGAUCAACUGAUGAAUAAAGAAGAUGUGAUUUUUUUAAUACAAUGGAGUAUUACUCUGUUAUAAAGAGGGAUAAACUUGAGACAUUUGUAGGUGAAUGAAUGUACCUUGAGAUCAUACUCAAGUGAAACAAGUGAAAUAAAUCGGGCACACGUGUAAAUAUUGCAUUGAUUCUCUGAUGUGAGAAACUGAAAGUGUAAAUAACGAUCAAAAUGUAUAAUAGAUAUUGUGAAAUAAGAAAAUGUUCAAAUGGGAAGGGGAACUAGGGAAGGGGGAGGGGAAAGGAAGGAAGGAAAAACAAAGAAAAGAAAAAAUGGAAACAAAAACCUUUGAUAUAUAAGAAAGGGCAGAGGGGUUGAAGGGAGGGGACAGGAAUGGGAAAAAAAGAACCAAGAUAUGUCAUGUAUAGAUACAAAUUCCCUAUGAUGAACAUGAUCAUUAUAUAUUUCUAAAAUGUGCCAAUAAACUUAAUUAAAAAAUAAAAUGAAAUGAUAUUGCCUUUGUGGCUAAAGAUUU
ensembl:lncRNA